ACCCGCAGGAGCGCGCGGCAGUGGACGCCACCGCCCCUGGCUGGCCCUAGCCAAGCGGCCCUCCUGGCGCCCGGGGCGCGCGCAGGGUUGCCAUAGAAACACCAGGAAGGCGUGGCGGCGCGUGGGGCGGGCUCUCGGGCUCCGGCAGCAGCCGCUCGCGCCCAGCGCGCGCCGCUGCGUUUCAGCGCUCCGUCGUUGGGCCCCAGUCCAGGGUCUCCCCGGUGGGCGAGGCAAAAGAUGUUGAGGCGCAGCUUGGAAAACCGGGACGCUCAAACCAGACAACUGCAAGAUGCUGUCACAAAUGUGGAGAAGCAUUUUGGAGAGCUGUGCCAAAUCUUUGCUGCUUAUGUGCGGAAAACUGCCAGACUGCGAGACAAAGCAGACCUCCUGGUGAAUGAAAUUAACGUGUAUGCCUCUACAGAGACCCCAAAUUUAAAGCAGGGCCUGAAAAACUUUGCUGAUGAGUUUGCCAAACUUCAGGAUUAUCGACAAGCAGAGGUUGAAAGACUUGAAGCCAAAGUAGUUGAACCACUGAAAGCUUAUGGAACCAUUGUAAAAAUGAAACGAGAUGACCUCAAAGCAACAUUAACAGCAAGGAAUCGAGAAGCUAAACAGUUAACACAGUUAGAAAGAACACGUCAGCGAAACCCAUCGGAUCGACAUGUUAUUUCACAGGCAGAAACUGAAUUACAGAGAGCUACAAUGGAUGCUACCCGAACAACUCGUCAUCUGGAGGAAACUAUUGACAAUUUUGAAAAGCAGAAAAUAAAGGAUAUAAAGGCUAUAUUUUCAGAAUUCAUCACUAUUGAAAUGUUAUUUCAUGGCAAAGCUUUAGAGGUCUACACUGCUGCCUACCAAAAUAUACAAAAGAUUGAUGAAGAAGAAGAUUUAGAGGUUUUCCGAAAUUCUCUGUAUCCACCAGAUUAUUCAUCUCGUUUAGAUAUUGUAAGAGCAAAUUCAAAGUCGCCUCUUCAGAGAUCACUGUCCACUAAGUGUGUAUCUGGAACAGGACAGGUAUCCACCUGUCGACUAAGAAAGGAUCAACAAGAUGAUGAAGAAGAUGAAGACUUAGAUGUAACAGAAGAAGAAAAUUAAUUUUCUUAAAAGUAAACUCUGAAUUUCCAUUUUUUCUUAAAUGACUUGGAAUCCAGAAUUACUAAAUUGCAAAACUUUAUACUGGCUUCAUACAUUAAACCUCAAAAUGAAAUUUACUGGAAAUGGAAAAUAAUUAAAGGAAAUUUAUGCUGACAAAAACGAAGGCUUUAAAAGCUAUUACACACCAGUUUUGAACAUCCUGUCUAGCAGUAUAUGAUCUUUUUUAUAGGUUCCAUUUAAAAAAACAAUUACACAUUUCAAAAGUAUUUCAUAUUAAUUAAUGCACCAUACCUAGUUGAGGUUGUAAUAGGAAGUAGAUGACAAAAAACAAAAUACUUAACAGUUCCACUUGCUUCUUUUACGUUAAGACACCAUGCUUUCGUUACCAGAAAGGGGUCCUAGAUAGUUGUUCUGAUUAAAUGCAAAUUCUAUUCUGUAAAGCCUUAAUUAAAAAACAAGUCUUUUUUCCCAUUAUUUUUUUCCCACUUUUACUACAACCUGAAGUUUCAUCAUUUAAUACAUAAACUUACUUUUUAACAAGAGAAUAAUCACUCUUCAUUAAAGCUAAUGGAAACCUAGGAUAUCAAUGUAUUGCAACUAUACAUAAAGCAUAAAUUUUAGCUUUAAAAAGAAAGCUACAUUCAGCCUGAUUCUGGUUUUAAAACAAAACUAUCAUACUAAAGCUAUACAUAGUACUACAACUUUUGGAAAGCUGUAAUUUGGUGGAAUGUUGCCUAAGAAAACAUCAUGGAAAACCAUAAAUCACUAAAAAUUCUAUAAAAGCUUUACCAAAUUACCAUCUAAUAAAUGAGUAUACAUUCUUAUUCCUGAAAAUGUAAAACAAUUUCAUCAGAGCCUUUCAGUCUGUCCUAUUUUGUUUCUUUGGAUGGGGAAUUAUACUUUAUUUCAUGGAUCCCAGUCAGGCACAUAAAUAUUAAGAAAUUUAUAAAAUUUGGGAAAACAACAGAAAGCAACUAUUUGUAACAGAAAAAUACUUUCUAGAAAGCUUUUUCUGACUUUAUUAUUCAUGGUUCUCUUAACAAAGCACUGCUUCCUGAGAAUAUAAUUGAUAAAAUUACUUUAGUAAUUUUAAAUAAAAUAUUUAUUAACUUCUAAAAUGAAAUAUUUAAAACAUUUAAAGAUCCUCAAUAACUUGAUAUUCUUAAACUGAGGAUAUCAUUGCAUUUUUAUUUUCUCAGUAUUUAAAUUUGGUGGUGUUGCACGGAAAAAACAGGGUUAUAGUACUUCUUUUGCAGCUUACUAUAGCAACUCAUUUCUCUUGAGCAUUAAUUGCCCAAUCUGUAAAAUCAAAAUAGCAUCUAAUAAAGCAAUCAGUAAAUAAUUUUGAUAUAAAAUGUAUGAUCUGCCUAUCUCAAAGAAAUAUUUUAAGGACAAAAGGAAUACUAUACAUAGUAAUACCUUCAUCAUGUAAAAUUAAGUUUCUUUUAAACCAGACAGUUUGGCAAACUUCUUAAAAGGCUAGACAGUAAAUAUGUUUACAAUAAAUGGGCGAAGAGACAAAAGCAAGGCUAUUACAUGGGUACUAUUACAUGGGUACUUAUAUAGCCAUUUAAAAUGUAACCACCUUUAAAAAUAUAAAAACUUCUUUUAGCUUUCUUGUAAAAAAAACAGGCAACCACCCUUACCAGUUACUUAGCCUAUAGUCCUCCAUUACUUAUCUCCAAAAUCGAUGUUAUUAAGGUUAUUGGGAUUAAAUGAUAUAGUUAAUUCAUAUAUAAUUACAGAUCAUAGAUAUAUAGUAUCUAUUGCAGCUCAAUAAAUGAUAGCUAACAUUUAAAAUACAUGGAGGUGACAGGGUCACCACUUAAUAGGUGAUAAAUGGACCACUGCUUUUGACACUGUUCUCAGUGACACUGUUCUCAUUAAGUGAUUAAAGUACACUCCUAAUAUGAUUCUUACCUACCUGUUGGUUAUGGGAUUAAGUUUACUUUCUAGACAUCUAUAUUUUUCACAUAUCCUCUACACAAAAAUGUUUAAGGUAACUAAAAUGGCACUGAUGGUAUUAAAGAACCAAUAUGCCCCUAAUGUACCUGAUAUAUCUGGGAGUGGGAGAAAGGAAACAAAAUUGGCUAUGAGAUGAUAAUUAUUGAAGCUGGAUGAUGGGUAUAUGAGGAUUUAGUACACUAUUCUCUUUUGUGUUUGAAAUUAGUGGUGUGCUGGUAAGCUGGCUCUCUGGGAUAUAAAGCGCCCUGAUUUGCUGCAUUUGCCAAUUUCCAUGGUUCCAUCCAGCCCCAGGAACAUAAAACAAAAGAGCAAGAGGAAGACCUAAGAAUCUACAGAGAAAAAUCUAAAAAGAGAAUAUAAGAAGAAAAC